GACGAACGCUGGCGGCGUGCUUAACACAUGCAAGUCGAACGGAAAGGCCCUGCUUUUGUGGGGUGCUCGAGUGGCGAACGGGUGAGUAACACGUGAGUAACCUGCCCUUGACUUUGGGAUAACUUCAGGAAACUGGGGCUAAUACCGGAUAGGAGCUCCUGCUGCAUGGUGGGGGUUGGAAAGUUUCGGCGGUUGGGGAUGGACUCGCGGCGUAUCAGCUUGUUGGUGGGGUAGUGGCUUACCAAGGCUUUGACGGGUAGCCGGCCUGAGAGGGUGACCGGCCACAUUGGGACUGAGAUGCGGCCCAGACUCCUACGGGAGGCAGCAGUGGGGAGUAUUGCACAGUAGGCGGAAGCCUGAUGCAGCAACGCCGCGUGCGGGAUGACGGCCUUCGGGUUGUAAACCGCUUUCGCCUGAGACGAAGCGUGAGUGACGGUAAUGGGUAAAGAAGCACCGGCUAACUACGUG
rnacentral:rRNA from 1 species